UUCGAUUUCUCUUUUUUUCUGAUUGUUCAUCCUGAAAUUUGCGUUUGUUUUCCUUCACUAAAUCCUAUUUAUCUUCUAAUAUGAUUCUCGUCUCCUUAAUUUCGGCGUCUGCGUCUCCGUCUCCGGUCGAGUUGAAUCAUCUAGAAGCUGUUUCGAUUUCGGCAAAGCUAUUUGAUCUUUGAGAAAAGGAUUGUCGGUCAUUUAGUUGAACGUGUGUUUCUCGACCAAGAACGCAAAAAUGGAGUAAGUUUUCGGAAUUUAAUUCUUUUCAAGCAUUAGAUUUUGCAGGAGGAUUUGUCUUUGGAUGAUGAUGAAAAACAUAUUGAAUAAAAUACGUUCCAUCGUAA